AUUGAACGCUGGCGGCAGGCCUGACACAUGCAAGUCGAGCGGAUGAAGGGAGCUUGCUCCUGUAUUCAGCGGCGGACGGGUGAGUAAUUCCUAGGAAUCUGCCUGGUAGUGGGGGAUAACGUCCGGAAACGGGCGCUAAUACAGCAUACGUCCUGAUGGAGAAAGUGGGGGAUCUUCGGACCUCACGCUAUCAGAUGAGCCUAGGUCGGAUUAGCUAGUUGGUGGGGUAAAGGCCUACCAAGGCGACGAUCCGUAACUGGUCUGAGAGGAUGAUCAGUCACACUGGAACUGAGACACGGUCCAGACUCCUACGGGAGGCAGCAGUGGGGAAUAUUGGACAAUGGGCGAAAGCCUGAUCCAGCCAUGCCGCGUGUGUGAAGAAGGUCUUCGGAUUGUAAAGCACUUUAAGUUGGGAGGAAGGGCAGUAAGUUAAUACCUUGCUGUUUUGACGUUACCAACAGAAUAAGCACCGGCUAACUUCGUG
rnacentral:rRNA from 1 species